AACACACAUUAUGGAAAUCAAAUGGGUUGCAAAUACCAUUUCAUGUUGACUUUAGUGUCACUGACUUUUCAUUUUGAUGCUUUAAAAGUCAUUUUAAUCUGGGUUAUGAUCAUAUUCUUUGAUAAAAUGUUCACAAUUAUAUUACAAAAUGGCACUUUGUAAACAUAAUAUUUACAAAGUCAUGCAAAACAAAUACAAGGCAUGCUGCAUUAAACCAACUCUUAAAAUAAUUAAACACACUGUUAAUUAUGAGAUUAAUUCUCCUUACAGGUAUUCUAGCAACAAUAAUAAUGGCCUCCAUGCUAGGACUGCUACUGAUCAUUACACUAGUUUGGUGUCUUUUGAGAAAAAGAUCUAACACUGAAGAACAAAAAGAGAAAACCAAUGGGUAUAAGCUGGCUGGGAAAGAAGAAAACAUCUCCAAAGUAUAACCUCUCAACAUCU
rnacentral:lncRNA from 1 species